AUGCACGCAAACAAGGGGGUGCUAAGCUGCAGCGAGCAGGAGGGCCGCUGCGGUGAGCGUUGAAGGUGUCGGGCGUAAGCCCGCCUGGAGCCGCCGCUGGUGCAGAUCUUGGUGGUAGUAGCAAAUACUCAAGUGAGAACCUUGAGGACUGAAGUGGAGAAGGGUUCCAUGUGAACAGCAGUUGAACAUGGGUCAGUCGGUCCUAAGGGAAAGGAGAAGUUCUUUCCGAAGCGGGAGCACUUUUUUGCAGUGGAGAGAGCCCCGCAGUGACCGAAAGGGAAUCGGUCACUGCGGGGCUCUCUCGUACAAGGAAGAGAGGGAGAGGGCCCCAGCUCCGCAGCCCCCUCCCCCACGCCGGAGAGUGUUGCCGCCCUGCAGCGCACCUUCUCGCAGGUUCUCCAGCAGAACCCGGCGACUUCGAGCCCGAGCCCCGCCGGCCAGCAGCAGGGGGGGGGCAUUGCCCGAGGCCCCCAAGCCAACAACACCACCCUCAGCCCCCAGGGAGAGCCUUUUGAUCUACCCGGCAACCAAGCCAGCAGCUGGGGUGGAGCCAUACGCAGGGAUCUCCCACCUGCUGCGUACUACCUUCAAGCCCGCGGACCUCGGACUCGGCAGCGUCGAGAUCAAGCAAGUGCGAGGUGGGGCUAUUGUGCUCGGUCACAGCGCGGCCGGACUAGACCGCCUCGCGGAGGCCAUUAAGGCCAAUGCGGAAACCGCGUCUAAACUUACCACUAGGCGUUCAGAAAAAAGGGCCCCACAGGUCAAGAUUGUGGGGGUUGACCCAGGGGUGG
rnacentral:ncRNA from 1 species